rnacentral:piRNA from 1 species
UAGAAAAACGCAAAUUUUCAGUGACCACUCU